rnacentral:rRNA from 1 species
UACGAAGGGGGCUAGCGUUGCUCGGAAUUACUGGGCGUAAAGGGAGCGUAGGCGGAUAGUUUAGUCAGAGGUGAAAGCCCAGGGCUCAACCUUGGAAUUGCCUUUGAUACUGGCUAUCUUGAGUAUGGGAGAGGUGUGUGGAACUCCGAGUGUAGAGGUGAAAUUCGUAGAUAUUCGCAAGAACACCAGUGGCGAAGGCGGCUCACUGGCCCGGUACUGACGCUGAGGUGCGAAAGCGUGGGGAGCAAACAGG